rnacentral:rRNA from 1 species
UACGUAGGGUGCAAGCGUUAAUCGGAAUUACUGGGCGUAAGGCGUGCGCAGGCGGUUAUGCAAGACAGAUGUGAAAUCCCCGGGCUUAACCUGGGCACUGCAUUUGUGACUGCAUAGCUAGAAUCUGGCAGAGGGGGGUAGAAUUCCACGUGUAGCAGUGAAAUGCGUAGAGAUGUGGAGGAACACCGAUGGCGAAGGCAGCCCCCUGGGCUAAGAUUGACGCUCAUGCACGAAAGCGUGGGGAGCAAACAGG